AUUGAACGCUGGCGGCAUGCUUUACACAUGCAAGUCGAACGGCAGCGCGGGCUUCGUCCUGGCGUCGAGUGGCGGACGGGCGAGUAAUUCAUCGGAACGUGCCCAGUAUUUGGGGAUAGCUCAGCGAAAGCCGGAUGAAUACCGCAUACGACCUGAUGGUGAAAGCGGUGGAUCUUCGGACCACGCGCUAUUUGAUCUGCCUAUGGCACAUUAGCUAGUUGGUUUGGUAAAGGCCUACCAAGGCGACGAUCUGUAGCUGGUCUGAGAGGACGACCAGCCACACUGGGACUGAGACACGGCCCAGACUCCUACGGGAGGCAGCAGUGGGGAAUCUUGCACAAUGGGCGAAAGCCUGAUCCAGCAAUGCCGCGUGUGUGAUGAAGGCCUUCGGGUUGUAAAGCACUUUUGGCGGGAACGAAAAGGACUGUGAGAAUACCACGGUUUGAUGACGGUACCCGCAGAAUAAGCCCCGGCUAACUACGUG
rnacentral:rRNA from 1 species